UACGUAGGGCGCGAGCGUUAAUCGGAAUUACUGGGCGUAAAGCGUGCGCAGGCGGUUUGGUAAGACAGAUGUGAAAUUCCCGGGCUUAACCUGGGAACUGCAUUUGUGGCUGACAGGCUAGAGUGCGGCAGAGGGGGGUGGAAUUCCGCGUGUAGCAGUGAAAUGCGUAGAUAUGCGGAGGAACACCGAUGGCGAAGGCAACUCCCUGGGCCUGCACUGACGCUCAUGCACGAAAGCGUGGGGAGCAAACAGG
rnacentral:rRNA from 1 species